rnacentral:tRNA from 1 species
AAGGCUUUAGCUUAAUUAAAGUGCUUGAGUUGCAUUCAGGUGAUGUGCGUUUGGCGCGUACAAGUCUUG